rnacentral:lncRNA from 1 species
UAAGGAGAGAGAAUUUGGUAGAUGUGGUGGCAUGUGCCUGAAACCAAUAACUGAGAGACCGAGGCAGGUGUACCACUGCAAGUUUGAGGCCAGCAUGGACGAUGUAGAGUUCUAGCCAGUGAAGGCUACUUCUUGAGACUUUGCCUCAAACAAAAGGCAAUCAGGGGCUGAGUAGAUAUGUCAGUGGUUAAAAGAAUGUGCUGAGCAAGUGUGAGUACUAAAUGUACCAAAACCCAUGUAAGGAUGCGUGUAGUGGCUAUUCCUGAUUGUCAGAUUGACUGUAUUUGGAAUGAACUACAAUCCAGAAUUGGAGGCUCACAAGUGAUCCUAAUCUGGAGGCUGGGAGAUACAAGUUUCUGAUCUGGAUCUUGGCAUGGAGAUCUUGAGGCAUAGCGGCUAUGAAUUCCAUAAGAUUAAGACACGGAGACCUCUGAGUUCAAGGUCAUCUGGGACUAAAGUCAUGGUGGCAUAUAACUUUAAUCUAGGCUACACCUUCUGCUGGAGACCUACAUAAGGACAUUGAAAUAAGGAAGAUUGACACCCUUUCUCUCCUUCACCUGCUUGCCUUGGACUGGUAGAUCCUUGGACUUCCAUUCACAGCUGCUGCUGACCAUUGUUGUUGGGAGUUGGACUGCAGACUGCAAACAGGAGAAGACUGUCUCAUGGGCAGCGAGGAGGAGGGUCCCAAAGCCCACCCACCCAGUGACACACUUUCUCCAACAAGACCACAACUACUCCAACAAGGCCACACCUCCAAGUAGUACCACUCCCUGGGCCAAGCAUAUUCAAACCACCACGUCAUCCUAUAGAAACUCCUAUAGUAAGUACCCUGGUGUGGUAGCUUAUAUAAUUCUAGAAUUUGGGGGAUGGGGUGGGGGGGAAGGAAGAGAGUCAGGAGUUCCAGGUGAGCCUGAGCUAUAUCAAAUUCUGUCUUCAAAAAAAAGAAAGAAAAAGGUAACUCUAUAGAGGAAUGGGAAGAUGCAGCUUAGUGGUAGAAGUUUCUUAGCAAGCAGAAGCCUCAAGUUUG